CUCCUGCCCUGACUGUCGGUCCCGUCUCUUGAGCCCCAUCAUUUAUAGGUUGAAUCCUAUAUUAUUGGAAGUAAUUUUCCUUUCACCUCCUAAAGUCGAAACAAGGCAGACUGCAGAAGUCUGAAGUCGCACCUCAGGAACAGAUGUUGUUAUUGUAAAGAAUGGAAGAAGAAUAUGUGGAACAGGAGGUUGUUUAGCCAGCGCACCUUUACAUCAAAACAAAAGCUAUUUUGAAUUCAAAAUCCAGUCCACAG
rnacentral:sRNA from 1 species